rnacentral:rRNA from 1 species
UACGUAGGGGGCAAGCGUUGUCCGGAUUUAUUGGGCGUAAAGAGCUCGUAGGCGGCUUGUCGCGUCGACUGUGAAAUCCCGCGGCUCAACUGCGGGUCUGCAGUCGAUACGGGCAGGCUAGAGUUCGGUAGGGGAGACUGGAAUUCCUGGUGUAGCGGUGAAAUGCGCAGAUAUCAGGAGGAACACCGAUGGCGAAGGCAGGUCUCUGGGCCGAUACUGACGCUGAGGAGCGAAAGCGUGGGGAGCGAACAGG